rnacentral:rRNA from 1 species
CUACGGGCCGCACCAGGCGCGAAAACUUUACAAUGUGCGAAAGCGCGAUUGGGCAAUUCCUAGUGCUAGCUUGCUAGCUUUUGUAAAGCGUAAAUAACUUUACGAAUAAGUGGGGGGUAAGAUACGUGCCAGCCGCCGCGGUAAUACGUACCCCACUAGUGGUGCUCGCGAUUAUUGGGCCUAAAGCAUCUGUAGCCGGUUAGACAAGUCUUUUGUUAAAUCACCCAGCUCAACUGGUUGGCCGCAAAAGAUACUAUUUAACUAGGGGAAGGUAGACGUUUGAGGUAUUUCUAGGGUACCGGUGAAAUGGGAUAAUCCUAGAAGGACCACCAGUAGCGAAAGCGUCAAACGAGAACUAACCCGACGGUGAGAGAUGAAAGCUGGGGGAGCGACCCGGAUUAGAUACCCCAGUAGUC